GCCCCCGUAGCUCAGUGGUCAGAGCACGCAGCGUUGAUUUUCCUUUGCUUUAGCGUUUGAUUUUCAGCGAAAUACCCAUCAGCGUAUGCGGGCCAGCGGUUCGAAUCCGCUCAGGGGCA